rnacentral:rRNA from 1 species
UACCAGCACCCCGAGUGGUCGGGACGUUUUAUUGGGCCUAAAGCAUCCGUAGCCGGUUCUGCAAGUCUUCCGUUAAAUCCACCUGCUUAACAGAUGGGCCGCGGAAGAUACUAUAGAGCUAGGAGGCGGGAGAGGCAAGUGGUACUCGAUGGGUAGGGGUAAAAUCCGUUGAUCCAUUGAAGACCACCAGUGGCGAAGGCGGCUUGCCAGAACGCGCUCGACGGUGAGGGAUGAAAGCUGGGGGGAGCAAACCGG